rnacentral:rRNA from 1 species
AGUCGAGCGGAGAGAGGUAGCUUGCUACUGAUCUUAGCGGCGGACGGGUGAGUAAUGCUUAGGAAUCUGCCUAUUAGUGGGGGACAACAUUUCGAAAGGAAUGCUAAUACCGCAUACGUCCUACGGGAGAAAGCAGGGGAUCUUCGGACCUUGCGCUAAUAGAUGAGCCUAAGUCGGAUUAGCUAGUUGGUGGGGUAAAGGCCUACCAAGGCGACGAUCUGUAGCGGGUCUGAGAGGAUGAUCCGCCACACUGGGACUGAGACACGGCCCAGACUCCUACGGGAGGCAGCAGUGGGGAAUAUUGGACAAUGGGCGCAAGCCUGAUCCAGCCAUGCCGCGUGUGUGAAGAAGGCCUUAUGGUUGUAAAGCACUUUAAGCGAGGAGGAGGCUACUUUAGUUAAUACCUAGAGAUAGUGGACGUUACUCGCAGAAUAAGCACCGGCUAACUCUGUGCCAGCAGCCGCGGUAAUACAGAGGGUGCAAGCGUUAAUCGGAUUUACUGGGCGUAAAGCGCGCGUAGGCGGCUAAUUAAGUCAAAUGUGAAAUCCCCGAGCUUAACUUGGGAAUUGCAUUCGAUACUGGUUAGCUAGAGUGUGGGAGAGGAUGGUAGAAUUCCAGGUGUAGCGGUGAAAUGCGUAGAGAUCUGGAGGAAUACCGAUGGCGAAGGCAGCCAUCUGGCCUAACACUGACGCUGAGGUGCGAAAGCAUGGGGAGCAAACAGGAUUAGAUACCCUGGUAGUCCAUGCC